rnacentral:rRNA from 1 species
UGGGGUAUAUUGCACAAUGGGGGAAACCCUGAUGCAGCGACGCCGCGUGAGCGAAGAAGGUUUUCGAAUCGUAAAGCUCUGUCCUAUGAGAAGAUAAUGACGGUAUCAUAGGAGGAAGCCCCGGCUAAAUACGUGCCAGCAGCCGCGGUAAUACGUAUGGGGCGAGCGUUGUCCGGAAUUAUUGGGCGUAAAGGGUACGUAGGCGGUCUAUUAAGUCAGGUGUGAAAGCGUGAGGCUUAACCUCAUUAAGCACUUGAAACUGAUAGACUUGAGUGAAGGAGAGGAAAGUGGAAUUCCUAGUGUAGCGGUGAAAUGCGUAGAUAUUAGGAGGAAUACCGGUGGCGAAGGCGACUUUCUGGACUUUUACUGACGCUCAGGUACGAAAGCGUGGGGAGCAAACAGG